GUCUGMCCUGCCCACUGAAUAUUUUCUUUUAACGGCCGCGGUACUCUGACUGUGCAAAGGUAGCAUAAUCAUUAGCUUUUUAAUUGAGAGCUGGAAUGAAAGGUCGAACAAGAAUUAGACUAUCUAUAUGUUUAAAAUUUAAGUUAAUUUUUGUGUGAAAAAGCAUAAAUAUACCGGAAAGACGAUAAGACCCUAUAAAUCUUUAUAAUAGCGAAAUUUUGUUAUAUAAAUUUUUAGUCAAAAAAAUAACAAGGAGUUGUUUAUUAUGUUGGGGCGACAUUAAUAUUUAAUAAACCGUUAAAUUAUAAAACAAAUAUAAUUGAGAAAAAGUAAUAGAUCUUAGUUAAAAAUUUAAAAUAUAAGUUACUUUAGGGAUAACAGCAUAAUUUCUUUAAAGAGUCCUAAUCGACAAAGAAGUUUGUGACCUCGAUGUUGAAUUAAAAAUUCU
rnacentral:rRNA from 1 species